AAAAAUUCACUUUACCAAUCUACACCCUCACUCCGUUCGUCGCCGACGCCGUUGCUCGCCGCAUCUGUGAGACUCCAUCGCCAUCGCCAUCGCCAUCGCCAUCGCCAUCGCCAUCGUCUUAACAAGUCCCAAGUCCCAAGUCCCAAAUCGAAGCUGCUCUCUGCCUCUCCGGCCUCCGCCAGUCCGCCGCGCUGUACGUCUCCUGUCGGCUGUGUCCUGCCGUGCUGGUUCAUCGCUGCCGAGUGUCGAAGACGAAGCACCAAGGUCUCACUAGUUCAUCGCUGGUUCAUCACUGCUCAUCUCUGGCUCACUUAGAAAAUUUCAUGACUGGUUAUCGGGUAGUUUUCAACCGCGAGAACAUGACUUUGGGAUGGAAGCCAUCUAACUGCUACGAUGAUGUGCAAAUCGAGUCAAAAAGCUUGAUAAGACUCGACUUGAUAAGGCUUGAUUAAAGAUCGAGCCUUAUCGAGUCGAGUCUCGAGCCUAAAUGAAAUUCUUCGAGUCGAUCUUCGAGUAUCGAUUUUCGGGCUCGACUCGAGCUCGAGCUUCUGUGUGUAUGAGUCGAGUCGAGCUCGAGUAUAGCGAUACUCGA